rnacentral:misc_RNA from 1 species
UUUCCUCGAUCAAUGUUGACGAAAUGUGGUAGACCUAUACCGCCUCACAUGGUGAAAGAUAUCCAUAGAAUCGACUCUUGUGUUCAAUUAUGGAUGGAAUAAAGUGUCAAAGGCAUCGUUAAGUGAAGACUGCUUUAAUAUGGCGUCUCUGGUGCUCGACCAGUACCUAAGAUGUCCAGUAUGUAUGGACUUCUUCGCCGACCCUCAUCGCCUGCCCUGUAGCCACUGCUUCUGUAAGCGGUGUCUGGAAGGGGUCCGCCAGCACUGUCUGUCGUUUAACUGUCCGGAAUGCAGACAGCUGGUCGUCCUGGACUACAGAGGUGUGGACGGACUGGAGAAGGACCGACGACUGGCCGCGAUGGUCGACGAGUUCGCCCACCAACAGCAGCAGUCACGUGUCUGCAAAGAACACAAACGGACCGUGGAGGGAUUCUGCGAGACAUGCGCAGUGCUCAUGUGCGGACGAUGCUUCUUUAGCGACCAGCAUUCGGGUCACACGAUGGGGGAUGUAGACGUUGUUGCCAAAAAGAAAAGGGAUGAAAUAUCCUCCGAGCUUGCUUUAGUCAAAGGAAAGGUCGACUCCAUCUUGAGCGACAGUGAGGUCACGGUGCAGAGUCAGUUGUGUGCAUUACAAGAACAAAUAACUACUGAAUUUGAACAAAUACGGGAACUUUUACGGCACAAAGAAGAGGCUUUACGUCUGGAAGCCAUUAAACUGGCAGAGAAGGCCUGCCAUGGACACGAUAAAAUAGCCAAGGCUCAGGAAUUAAAGAUGAAAAUCACCGACCUUGAGGAAUCCAUCACAACGGACGGAGUCUCGUUCCUUCAGAGUUAGGAUAGAGAAGAAGCUGGUCUCCUCUCUUGAUUCUGAAUAUACAGACACUCGUAUAUGUCUCCCAACUCUCAAACACGGCGACACAGAACUGUUUCUUAUGUCCUUCAGGUUGGCUCCGUCCGAUCCACGCCUGCGUAUCCGGAAGUCCAGUGACGGAAGUGAAGACCUCACAUUCAGACUUUCCACACAGCACUUGGAAAGCAGUAACUGCAAACACUCUGCGGUAGGCAGCUGUAGAUCUGAAGACAUGAAUUUAGCACCCUUGAAUAUAAAAAGCUCUCGUUUCACACAAACUUAGUGCUGGAAAAACAGAUGUCUCCAAGUCCUGCGGUUCACGCUGCGUCCUUUUUGUCAUCCGGGUAUCUUGUUCUUUUGGAUCUGAAUUCAACCCUUUUGUUGUUUAAUGAAGAUUACACUCUGCUUCACGAAUUGAGACUAGAAGACAAGGCGUUUGACGUCACAGCAUUGUCUGACCAUAUGCUUGCCGUAACCAUUGGUGCAGCUAAAAGAGUGGAGUUGAUAGAUGUCAAGGACGAAACGCUACAGUCGAACGGAAAGAUCGAGCUGGAUACCGAGUGCUUCCAUGUAUCUUGCAUUGACGACAAAAUUGUGACCGGAAACGGAAGUCUAGUCAGUUUCUUUAACGUGAAGGGCGCACGUCUGAAAACUAUCAUCAUGUCCGGAAUGAUACAGUCUCUGUAUAUUUCAAAGUCUCACCGGAAGAUGUAUCUCAACAUCCGGUCAGAGUACGUUCUUUGUGCAGACAUGCGCGGGAAUCGGGAAUAUAAAUACAAGCAUGACGAUUUGCAGGAAAUAGGUGGCGUGACAGCGGACAACAGGUCACUGGCGUAUGCCUGUGGUUCCAAGUCCAAUAAUGUCCAUCAGAUUGGUCCCGACGGACGGUUGGUGCGAAUUAUUCUAUCGAAAGAAAACGGCCUGACGAAACCAAUUUCCGUGGGCUUUGACAGUACAUGCUCCAAAAUGUUUCUGAUUGAGAAAGACGACACACUAAAAGAGGCGGUGAAAGUCUACAAUGUGAACUACUGAAACAGUAUUAUUUUACCUUGUGAUCCCAAGAGUUAUAUAUUAUUAUUUAUUUUCCCCUUUGAUUUUCUUUGUUUUUUGUUGGAAUCAAAUGUAUACAAUUGUUUUUACCCCAAGAGUAUUGUUUUAAUUGUUUAAGGAAUAUAAAUGAAUAAAAUUUUCCAAAAAAAACCAAAUGAAUAACUCAAUCAAAACUUUAGUUAUUCGGUCGUUUUAAAAUAUAAUGAAAAUGGUUAUAGGCAGUGUGAAAUGUAAUCUGCAAUUUUUUUUAUUUUAAAACAUAUCAUUUUUAGAACUUGUUUUCAAAUAAACAUGGUUUUGUUUC